UGGGGAAUGGUGCAACGGCAGCACGCCUGACUCUGGAUCAGGUAAUCGUGGUUCGAAUCCACGUUCCCCAGCCA
rnacentral:tRNA from 2 species